rnacentral:rRNA from 1 species
CUCAACCCCGGAAGUGCGACUGAAACUGGCAGGCUUGAGUAUGGGAGAGGGAAGUGGAAUUCCUGGUGUAGCGGUGAAAUGCGUAGAUAUCAGGAGGAACACCGGUGGCGAAGGCGACUUCCUGGACCAAUACUGACGCUGAGGCGCGAAGGCGUGGGUAGCAAGCAGGAUUAGAUACCCUGGUAGUCCACGCAGUAAACGGUGAUCACUAGGUGUUGCGGGCUUUGAUGUCUGCAGUGCCGAAGCAAACGCAUUAAGUGAUCCGCCUGGGGAGUACGGCCGCAAGGUUAAAACUCAAAGGAAUUGACGGGGGCCCGCACAAGCGGUGGAGCAUGUGGUUUAAUUCGACGCAACGCGAAGAACCUUACCUGGGUUUGACAUCUGGGGGAUGCCAUGGAGACAUGGCAGUGCCCUUCGGGGAGCCC